rnacentral:rRNA from 1 species
GUCUAUGGUCAUGUCACCCUGAACAAGUCCAAUCCCAUCUGAUCUCGGAAGCUAAGCAGGGUCGGGCCUGGUUAGCACUUGGAUGGGAGACCACCUAGGAAAACCAGGUACUGUAGGCG